rnacentral:rRNA from 1 species
AUGGCUCCGAAAAACGUGAUCCGUUUCAUCUUGGUGCUGAUCCAUGUGAGCAGUUGUUUGGGUAGAUCAGGGAAAAUGUUUUCUCCUAGCUUUAUCUCAGUGGCGCAGUCAUUGUCAAGCUGGCCAAUUUUCAGUGCAGGGAUAUCUGUAACUGUUGCACUUGUUCUGUCCUUGUUUCUAACUUUCGAGCAUCUCUGCGCGUACCAUCAACCUGAGGAGCAGAAGUUCUUGAUCGGUCUCAUUAUGAUGGUUCCAGUAUAUGCUGUUCAAUCAUUCUUCUCAUUACUGAAUUCAAAGGUUGCUUUCAUCUGUGAGAUGAUGCGGGAUUGUUAUGAGGCAUUCGCAAUGUAUUGCUUUGAGAGAUAUCUGAUAGCAUGCUUAGGCGGGGAGGAAAGUACCAUCAGAUACAUGGAGGAUCAGUUUCAACCCAGUGAUAGUUCUCCUCUGCUAGACGUUGAUUAUGAUUAUGGUAUUGUGAAACAUCCAUUCCCAUUGAACUGGUUUAUGAGAAACUGGUACCUCGGUCCUGACUUUUAUUAUGCCGUGAAGAUUGGGAUUGUGCAAUACAUGAUACUCAAGCCUAUUUGUGCUAUCUUGGCAAUUUUGCUAGAACUUCUGGGUAUCUAUGGAGAAGGAAAAUUUGCAUGGAGAUAUGGGUACCCAUAUUUGGCUGUUGUCCUAAAUUUCAGCCAGACAUGGGCAUUGUACUGUCUUGUACAGUUCUACACUGCUACAAAGGAGAAGCUGGAACCUAUUAAGCCCCUGUCCAAGUUUCUAACUUUCAAAUCUAUUAUAUUUUUGACAUGGUGGCAAGGUAUUGCUGUUGCAUUUCUGUUUUCAACUGGGCUUUUUAAUGGACAUCUGGCACAAAGUUUGCAAACACGUAUCCAGGAUUAUAUAAUAUGUCUGGAGAUGGGGGUGGCGGCAGUGGUUCAUAUGAAAGUAUUCCCAGCUAAGCCCUACAGGCGUGGCGAGAGAAGUGUUUAUAAUGCUGCUGUCAUGUCUGAUUAUGCAUCCCUGGGGGCUCCAGAUCCUGAAGAAGAACGAGAGAUUGAUAAUUUAACAAUCAUGGAAACCUCUCGCCCUGAUUCCAGAGACAGGCGGUUGAGUUUUCCUCAGAGUGUUCGUGAUGUUGUGUUAGGAAGUGGUGAAAUUAUGGUCGAUGAUGUCAGAUACACAGUCUCCCAUGUCGUCGAGCCCAUGGAAAGGAGUUUCACGAAGAUAAAUAAGACACUCCACCAAAUAUCUGAGAAUGUGAAGCAGAUUGAGAAGCAGAAGAGGAAGGCAAAGGACGACAGCCAUCUUAUUCCGCUGGAAUCAUGGUCAGAGGAAUUUUCAGAAGCUCAAGAUCAGGUUCAAGGUGGUAGUUUUAGUGACAGUGGAUUAGCUAGGAGAAGGUACAACAAAUUUCGCAGACUCCGCAGGUGGUUCUAG